UUAAGCGACUAAGCGUACACGGUGGAUGCCCUGGCAGUCAGAGGCGAUGAAGGACGUGCUAAUCUGCGAUAAGCGUCGGUAAGGUGAUAUGAACCGUUAUAACCGGCGAUUUCCGAAUGGGGAAACCCAGUGUGUUUCGACACACUAUCAUUAACUGAAUCCAUAGGUUAAUGAGGCGAACCGGGGGAACUGAAACAUCUAAGUACCCCGAGGAAAAGAAAUCAACCGAGAUUCCCCCAGUAGCGGCGAGCGAACGGGGAGUAGCCCAGAGCCUGAAUCAGUGUGUGUGUUAGUGGAAGCGUCUGGAAAGGCGCGCGAUACAGGGUGACAGCCCCGUACACAAAAAUGCACAUGCUGUGAGCUCGAUGAGUAGGGCGGGACACGUGGUAUCCUGUCUGAAUAUGGGGGGACCAUCCUCCAAGGCUAAAUACUCCUGACUGACCGAUAGUGAACCAGUACCGUGAGGGAAAGGCGAAAAGAACCCCGGCGAGGGGAGUGAAAAAGAACCUGAAACCGUGUACGUACAAGCAGUGGGAGCACGCUUAGGCGUGUGACUGCGUACCUUUUGUAUAAUGGGUCAGCGACUUAUAUUCUGUAGCAAGGUUAACCGAAUAGGGGAGCCGAAGGGAAACCGAGUCUUAACUGGGCGUUAAGUUGCAGGGUAUAGACCCGAAACCCGGUGAUCUAGCCAUGGGCAGGUUGAAGGUUGGGUAACACUAACUGGAGGACCGAACCGACUAAUGUUGAAAAAUUAGCGGAUGACUUGUGGCUGGGGGUGAAAGGCCAAUCAAACCGGGAGAUAGCUGGUUCUCCCCGAAAGCUAUUUAGGUAGCGCCUCGUGAAUUCAUCUCCGGGGGUAGAGCACUGUUUCGGCAAGGGGGUCAUCCCGACUUACCAACCCGAUGCAAACUGCGAAUACCGGAGAAUGUUAUCACGGGAGACACACGGCGGGUGCUAACGUCCGUCGUGAAGAGGGAAACAACCCAGACCGCCAGCUAAGGUCCCAAAGUCAUGGUUAAGUGGGAAACGAUGUGGGAAGGCCCAGACAGCCAGGAUGUUGGCUUAGAAGCAGCCAUCAUUUAAAGAAAGCGUAAUAGCUCACUGGUCGAGUCGGCCUGCGCGGAAGAUGUAACGGGGCUAAACCAUGCACCGAAGCUGCGGCAGCGACGCUGAUGCGUUGUUGGGUAGGGGAGCGUUCUGUAAGCCUGCGAAGGUGUGCUGUGAGGCAUGCUGGAGGUAUCAGAAGUGCGAAUGCUGACAUAAGUAACGAUAAAGCGGGUGAAAAGCCCGCUCGCCGGAAGACCAAGGGUUCCUGUCCAACGUUAAUCGGGGCAGGGUGAGUCGACCCCUAAGGCGAGGCCGAAAGGCGUAGUCGAUGGGAAACAGGUUAAUAUUCCUGUACUUGGUGUUACUGCGAAGGGGGGACGGAGAAGGCUAUGUUGGCCGGGCGACGGUUGUCCCGGUUUAAGCGUGUAGGCUGGUUUUCCAGGCAAAUCCGGAAAAUCAAGGCUGAGGCGUGAUGACGAGGCACUACGGUGCUGAAGCAACAAAUGCCCUGCUUCCAGGAAAAGCCUCUAAGCAUCAGGUAACAUCAAAUCGUACCCCAAACCGACACAGGUGGUCAGGUAGAGAAUACCAAGGCGCUUGAGAGAACUCGGGUGAAGGAACUAGGCAAAAUGGUGCCGUAACUUCGGGAGAAGGCACGCUGAUAUGUAGGUGAAGCGACUUGCUCGUGGAGCUGAAAUCAGUCGAAGAUACCAGCUGGCUGCAACUGUUUAUUAAAAACACAGCACUGUGCAAACACGAAAGUGGACGUAUACGGUGUGACGCCUGCCCGGUGCCGGAAGGUUAAUUGAUGGGGUUAGCGCAAGCGAAGCUCUUGAUCGAAGCCCCGGUAAACGGCGGCCGUAACUAUAACGGUCCUAAGGUAGCGAAAUUCCUUGUCGGGUAAGUUCCGACCUGCACGAAUGGCGUAAUGAUGGCCAGGCUGUCUCCACCCGAGACUCAGUGAAAUUGAACUCGCUGUGAAGAUGCAGUGUACCCGCGGCAAGACGGAAAGACCCCGUGAACCUUUACUAUAGCUUGACACUGAACAUUGAGCCUUGAUGUGUAGGAUAGGUGGGAGGCUUAGAAGUGUGGACGCCAGUCUGCAUGGAGCCGACCUUGAAAUACCACCCUUUAAUGUUUGAUGUUCUAACGUUGACCCGUAAUCCGGGUUGCGGACAGUGUCUGGUGGGUAGUUUGACUGGGGCGGUCUCCUCCUAAAGAGUAACGGAGGAGCACGAAGGUUGGCUAAUCCUGGUCGGACAUCAGGAGGUUAGUGCAAUGGCAUAAGCCAGCUUGACUGCGAGCGUGACGGCGCGAGCAGGUGCGAAAGCAGGUCAUAGUGAUCCGGUGGUUCUGAAUGGAAGGGCCAUCGCUCAACGGAUAAAAGGUACUCCGGGGAUAACAGGCUGAUACCGCCCAAGAGUUCAUAUCGACGGCGGUGUUUGGCACCUCGAUGUCGGCUCAUCACAUCCUGGGGCUGAAGUAGGUCCCAAGGGUAUGGCUGUUCGCCAUUUAAAGUGGUACGCGAGCUGGGUUUAGAACGUCGUGAGACAGUUCGGUCCCUAUCUGCCGUGGGCGCUGGAGAACUGAGGGGGGCUGCUCCUAGUACGAGAGGACCGGAGUGGACGCAUCACUGGUGUUCGGGUUGUCAUGCCAAUGGCACUGCCCGGUAGCUAAAUGCGGAAGAGAUAAGUGCUGAAAGCAUCUAAGCACGAAACUUGCCCCGAGAUGAGUUCUCCCUGACCCUUUAAGGGUCCUGAAGGAACGUUGAAGACGACGACGUUGAUAGGCCGGGUGUGUAAGCGCAGCGAUGCGUUGAGCUAACCGGUACUAAUGAACCGUGAGGCUUAACCUU
rnacentral:rRNA from 1 species